rnacentral:tRNA from 1 species
GUCGGCCGUAGCCCAGCUGGUCAGCGCGCUCGGUAGCAACCCUGAGGUCCAGGGAUCAAAUCCCGCCGGCGCCC